rnacentral:lncRNA from 1 species
AUAUAUAUAAACUAGUCUGAUAUAAGAUAAAGGAAUAUAAUUUCAAAACUAGCAACAUUCCAUUAAUCUUUUUGAUAUUUUCUAAAGCUCUGCAACUCUGGACUUCGGAGUACCUCCUUCAAUGUUGAAGGUUCACACAACAGUUCUCAAGGAAACCUUGGUAGCAGGCAAAUGUGGUCUCUCUGGGUGCAAAGGACUCAGCUUCCCACA